AGCAGCCGCGGUAAUUCCAGCUCCAAUAGCGUAUAUUAAAGUUGCUGCAGUUAAAAAGCUCGUAGUUGAAUUUCGGGACCAUCAUGUUGGUCGUGCCUCGGUACGUACUGGCAUUGUUGGUUUUUCCCUUCUGACGAACCAUGAUGUCAUUUAUUUGGUGUCGUGGGAAAUCAGGACUGUUACUUUGAAAAAAUUAGAGUGUUUAAAGCAGGCUCACGCUUGAAUACAUUAGCAUGGAAUAAUGAAAUAGGACGUUUGAUUCUAUUUUGUUGGUUUCUAGGAUCGACGUAAUGAUUAAUAGGGAUAGUUGGGGGCAUUAGUAUUCAAUUGUCAGAGGUGAAAUUCUUGGAUUUAUUGAAGACUAACUACUGCGAAAGCAUUUGCCAAGGAUGUUUUCAUUAAUCAAGAACGAAAGUUAGGGGAUCGAAGACGAUCAGAUACCGUCGUAGUCUUAACCAUAAACUAUGCCGACUAGGGAUCGGAUGAUGUUAAUUUUUUAAUGACUCAUUCGGCGCCUUAC
rnacentral:misc_RNA from 1 species